rnacentral:lncRNA from 1 species
AACUCUUGUCCAAUACUUUUCAAACAAAUUAUAGGGGUUACCAGUCUCUAAUUUCUGAAACCUCACCCAAUAAUUAUUGAUCUCAUUCCUUAGUUAGUCAAACCCACCAUUCUUACGAAAGUAAAGCUAUCAUUGAGAUCCUCACCUAAUAGUUAUUAGAUCCAACCCCAUCUCCACCCCACAGUAUCUCAUACUUAAUAGAGUGGUUGUGUCUUUCCUAAUGCAACUAAACCACUGUAUCCAGUCGAAAAUAAUCAAUAUCUGAAAGGAUCC